GGAUUAGAUACCCUGGUAGUCCACGCCGUAAACGAUGAGUGCUAAGUGUUAGGGGGUUUCCGCCCCUUAGUGCUGCAGCUAACGCAUUAAGCACUCCGCCUGGGGAGUACGGUCGCAAGACUGAAACUCAAAGGAAUUGACGGGGGCCCGCACAAGCGGUGGAGCAUGUGGUUUAAUUCGAAGCAACGCGAAGAACCUUACCAGGUCUUGACAUCCUCUGACAACCCUAGAGAUAGGGCUUUCCCUUCGGGGACAGAGUGACAGGUGGUGCAUGGUUGUCGUCAGCUCGUGUCGUGAGAUGUUGGGUUAAGUCCCGCAACGAGCGCAACCCUUGAUCUUAGUUGCCAGCAUUUAGUUGGGCACUCUAAGGUGACUGCCGGUGACAAACCGGAGGAAGGUGGGGAUGACGUCAAAUCAUCAUGCCCCUUAUGACCUGGGCUACACACGUGCUACAAUGGACAGAACAAAGGG
rnacentral:rRNA from 1 species